rnacentral:siRNA from 1 species
AGCCUAAGUAGUGUAUCCUUGUUA